UACGAAGGGUGCAAGCGUUACUCGGAAUUACUGGGCGUAAAGGGUGCGCAGGUGGUCGGGUAAGUCUGAUGUGAAAUCCCGCAGCUCAACUGCGGAAUGGCAUUGGAUACUAUUUGGCUAGAGGGUUGGAGGGGGGACUGGAAUUCUCGGUGUAGCAGUGAAAUGCGUAGAUAUCGAGAGGAACACCAGUGGCGAAAGCGAGUCCCUGGACAACUCCUGACGCUGAGGCACGAAAGCUAGGGGAGCAAACAGG
rnacentral:rRNA from 1 species